rnacentral:lncRNA from 1 species
GCAGUGCCAACACAGAGGAGGCAGAGUCAUGGCAUCGCUGCUGUGCAACGCCCGCAUCCAGCUCACGGAAACGCUGGAGAAGAUGCAGCAAGGGACGCUGAUGAGGAAAGUCAAAUCCAAGAGCUGGAAGAAGCAGAGGUACUUCAAGCUGCAGGAUGACUGCAUGACCAUCUGGUACCAAUCCAAGAGGACGGGCAAAACUGAGUCUGCCUAGAGUACUGGGAUUCAAGGGAGGCUG